CAGAUUUCUGGAUGCCACCUCCAAGAAACUCUGAAUGAAUAGAGUAUUGAGUCCAGUGUCUGGUUCCAUGGUCUCAAGCUCCCAGCUUACUGCCUCUGCUGGUUCUUACCAUCGUCAGCCCCAAGUUCUGGUCUUCUGAUGCUCUUCCUCUGGGAGAGGAAGCACCUAGUAAUUGGCCAACAGGAACCAUGCAGAUGCUUGUGCUCAACCUAAUUCUGGUGCAUUUGAGAGCAAAUGGAGCUUCCCUAAUUCCUGAGACUUAAACACCUGGAAAUUACCUAUGGCAGCUGAGUCACCCACCUCACCUCCUCCCCUCGCUCCUGGAGCCUGCUGGCUGUUUCCAAGGCCCUCCUCAUUAUUCACACCAUGAAUAAUGGCCACAGAAAUACCAAAAGCAACACCUGAUGGCUGUGGAAGGUUUUUAUCCUCACAGGUCGUGAAUACUUUCUGUUUAUCAGCUACACUAAGGGUUUGUGACUAUCUAAGUGUUGUAUUUCUAGCCGCUGUAUUCUGAAGGAAAGCAUCCUGCCCUGAGGUAAGGACAAAUUCUUUAUUCAUAUUGAAAAUGAAAGCAAGUAAAGGGCAAGGAUUUUUUUUUAAAUCCCACUUUCAGUAUGUUCAGAAUGAAAAGUUUUUUGAAAUAAGACCUUUAAA